rnacentral:lncRNA from 1 species
GUUAAUUUGUUUAUAUCGUGAUCUCCAAACUAAGUGCUUGGAUUCAGCCUUAUUCUGAAUUAAAGCUGGAUGGAGGAAAAGUAUUUUGUCUAAGUUGCUCUAAAAUUAUUCCUGAGUCAGUACACCUCACCUCCAGUAAAGCAAUGAUGUUCGUUUCGGCUUUAUGUAUGAGUAGAGUCCUAGCUUCAGAUUUGUAAUGUUUGGUACAAAAACACUUGUAAGCCCAAAAUUAAACUUUAUUUGUCUACAUACUAAACACGACUGCCUGAUUAUUUUACCUGUGUAAUUAACUAAAAUUGAAUCUAAUAAAAAUACACUAUGAGCUAG